rnacentral:rRNA from 2 species
GAUUGAACGCUGGCGGCAGGCCUAACACAUGCAAGUCGAACGGUAACAGGAAGAAGCUUGCUUCUUUGCUGACGAGUGGCGGACGGGUGAGUAAUGUCUGGGAAACUGCCUGAUGGAGGGGGAUAACUACUGGAAACGGUAGCUAAUACCGCAUAACGUCGCAAGACCAAAGAGGGGGACCUUAGGGCCUCUUGCCAUCGGAUGUGCCCAGAUGGGAUUAGCUAGUAGGUGGGGUAAAGGCUCACCUAGGCGACGAUCCCUAGCUGGUCUGAGAGGAUGACCAGCCACACUGGAACUGAGACACGGUCCAGACUCCUACGGGAGGCAGCAGUGGGGAAUAUUGCACAAUGGGCGCAAGCCUGAUGCAGCCAUGCCGCGUGUAUGAAGAAGGCCUUCGGGUUGUAAAGUACUUUCAGCGGGGAGGAAGGUGUUGUGGUUAAUAACCACAGCAAUUGACGUUACCCGCAGAAGAAGCACCGGCUAACUCCGUGCCAGCAGCCGCGGUAAUACGGAGGGUGCAAGCGUUAAUCGGAAUUACUGGGCGUAAAGCGCACGCAGGCGGUCUGUCAAGUCGGAUGUGAAAUCCCCGGGCUCAACCUGGGAACUGCAUUCGAAACUGGCAGGCUUGAGUCUCGUAGAGGGGGGUAGAAUUCCAGGUGUAGCGGUGAAAUGCGUAGAGAUCUGGAGGAAUACCGGUGGCGAAGGCGGCCCCUGGACGAAGACUGACGCUCAGGUGCGAAAGCGUGGGGGAGCAAACAGGAUUAGAUACCCUGGUAGUCCACGCCGUAAACGAUGUCUAUUUGGAGGUUGUGCCCUUGAGGUGUGGCUUCCGGAGCUAACGCGUUAAAUAGACCGCCUGGGGAGUACGGCCGCAAGGUUAAAACUCAAAUGAAUUGACGGGGGCCCGCACAAGCGGUGGAGCAUGUGGUUUAAUUCGAUGCAACGCGAAGAACCUUACCUGGUCUUGACAUCCACAGAACUUUCCAGAGAUGGAGGGGUGCCUUCGGGAACUGUGAGACAGGUGCUGCAUGGCUGUCGUCAGCUCGUGUUGUGAAAUGUUGGGUUAAGUCCCGCAACGAGCGCAACCCUUAUCCUUUGUUGCCAGCGGUUAGGCCGGGAACUCAAAGGAGACUGCCAGUGAUAAACUGGAGGAAGGUGGGGAUGACGUCAAGUCAUCAUGGCCCUUACGACCAGGGCUACACACGUGCUACAAUGGCGCAUACAAAGAGAAGCGAACUCGCGAGAGCAAGCGGACCUCAUAAAGUGCGUCGUAGUCCGGACUGGAGUCUGCAACUCGACUCCAUGAAGUCGGAAUCGCUAGUAAUCGUGGAUCAGAAUGCCACGGUGAAUACGUUCCCGGGCCUUGUACACACCGCCC